GGAGUCGAAAAGUUUUCUCGAAAAAACUUUUCACAUUUGCUUUUUUAUCUGUAUUUUCAAACUGCUCACAUGUUUAUAGUGUUUAUACUAGGAUGUUGCUGGUCGUAUAAAAGCUAAACUUUUAUACACGAGCAACGUUAUCCCUGUUAUUCUCUUUCUCUAUCUAUUGGUCGUAGAUUCUCACUUCCCCUUUGCUCUUCUCAGAUAUUCAUGCAUGAUCCUUGGGGAGGUGAGAGACCAAUAGACGAUGAUCUUCUCGCAUUGUUAUUCGAGCAUCAACAACAACCUUCCUUUCCCUUCCUUGAGCCUUCAUCUUCACAAAAAAAUCCCGCGACUAGUCCUUCAGUCAGUCAACCACACAUGGAUCAUGUCAAAUACACUGCUCGUAAGAAAAAGAAAACCACCAAUUCACCUUCUAACCAUAAAUCAACCAAUACUGAGGGUCCGUCAAACGACCCUCAUCCUUUAAAUUUUUCACCACCAGACAUUCAGCCAAAAGCCCGUCAUGGCGAUGGCCCCCAAGCAGAAACAGACUGGUAUGUUGCCCCUCCUAGUGUCAUAUCGACCAAUAUGGUGGCCAAGUAUUCCAAGAAGUACGGGCUUCCUGGAGUUACUUUACAUAAACCCACACCCGACCAACGGGCAAACGUGCCUGGAGGCGCCUUCAUCUCCUAGUCGAGGUAUCACAUCGAGGCAGGGGCAAUCUUGCCCUUACACGAUUUUUUCCAAGGGGUGGCCAAUUAUUUCGAGGUUGCCCCUUUUCAAAUAACACCCAAUGGGUAUAGAGUACUAUCAGCACUCUGUAUCCUUUACAAUCACAAAAAAGGGCAUGUGCCUACCCCACACGAGAUCAACUAUCUAUUUGAUCUUACAUCCAACCCCAACCAAAACAACACGGGGUUUUUCCACUUCUGUCACUAGGAAUUUGCUUGCAUAUUCCUGAGUGAUGUUACCUAUAAGUUCAACGUAGGAAAAUAUUUCCAAGAGUACUUCCUCACUACAGACCCGGUUGCUGACAACUUGGCCUUCACACAAGGAGGUAAACUUUUGAAUCUCCGGUUGUUCAUUUUUAUUAUUUUUUCCUUUUCUUGUCCUUAGUAAUUUGGUUUUGCGUCCAGGUCCAUGGCACCGACCAGACCCCACUCCAGAGAUGGAGAUGAGGGCCGCAGUCCUAGCCAAUAUGACGAACAUAGAAAAGAGCGUCAAGGAGCUGGUCACUGAAAGAAAUUUAAGGUUGGUCGGCCUUUUGGAUCCUCAUCAAGAAGUGAGGGAAUCCACUGCGGGGAGUGCCAUUGGAGAGGGUACCGAAGGACAGGAAAUCCCCGAGCAGCAGCAAGAUGUGUCACAAUCCCAGAGCCGAUGACCAACGGGAGUGACCAUCCGAGAACCAUCUAGCAACCCUCAGGUUACUGCUACCCAUGCCCACCAUGGGAGGGGAAAACAAAAACUACCAGAAUAUACCGGCCCUAUAUUCGAAUCAUCUGACGAGAACGUCAUGCCGUCUGAAGAUGCUUUCAACAUGUAUGCCUCUUUCGAAGCUCCUACGAGCAAGAAGAAAUCGAGCAGAAGGCACCUUGGGGAGAGCAGUAGCGAGCCUUCCAAGAAAAAGGCCCAAUCAGAAGACCCUCCGACUCCAACUCCUUCUAGAACUACUACGCUUCCUCCUCCUUCAAGCAGGCAGAGGGAGCCCCGGCCGCUGAAUUGCUGAACAACGCUUUUAACGCUACUUAUGAGAAGCUGCAGAGAUUUUCCAGGCACCGUCGCAGCCAUGAAGCCUUUGCUCAUCUUCCCCCAUUGAAGCAUAGCCAGGUCAUGAGCUGCGGGCUUUCUGAAGUCCUCAGUGGAUUCCUGACCAUGAGCCAUGGUUGGCGCCGUGCUGAGGAGAUCAAGUCCUAACAUGCCAAGGAGAUCAAGGUAUGCGAGGAUAAGGUUAAGGCGAUUGAAAACAAAGUUGCCAAUCUAAUCGAGGAGUUGAAGAGGAGCCAAGAAGAGCUAGCCAAAGCUACUGCUGCCAAAGAAAAGUUUAAGGAGGCUUCAGAGAACAACUUCAAAGAAGCAACCAAACUCUAAGAGGACCUGGCAGCCAGCUUGAAGGAGGCUACUGAGCUAGAGGAGCGGGUCAAGCUGCUCGAGGAAAACCAAUUCUCAAAACCUGGAGAGGUUCUGAGGAGCAAUCUUCAAUUGCUUCUAUUUGUUUUGGAAGAACAACCCUAGGGCAAAUUUUGACUACCUUCCCGAGCAGAUGAGGCAAGUUGAAAUUGCAAAGUGCACUGCUCGCCUAGAAGAGGAAAAGAAAGCUCAGGAAUCUCCUGAAAUUUCCUUGGCGACAGGCAUCGAUGGAGCCGAAGAAGAUGCAGGGACAACAAUCGACCAGAAAUCUCAGCAAGACCCUCCUCCAGCUGCACAAUAAUUUGUUAUUUUUUUUUACUUUGUAACUAAAUUAUGUGAACAUUGGUUUGUAAUGUUGAGAUAAUUUUACUGCGUAAUGCAGCUUUUCUUUUAAUUUUAAUUACAUUCGAGCAGCAAUAGCUUGCGAUGUAAAGACAUUUCAUUAUGAUAUUAUAAUAUUUUUAUUGCUAUUAUAACAUCUGUUCGUAUGA